rnacentral:rRNA from 1 species
AGGACGAACGCUGGCGGCGUGCUUAACACAUGCAAGUCGAACGGUAAGGCCCUUUCGGGGGUACACGAGUGGCGAACGGGUGAGUAACACGUGGGUGACCUGCCCCUUACUCUGGGAUAAGCCUGGGAAACUGGGUCUAAUACCGGAUAGGACUUCAUGCUGCAUGGUGUGGGGUUGAAAGUUUUUCGGUGGGGGAUGGGCCCGCGGCCUAUCAGCUUGUUGGUGGGGUGAUGGCCUACCAAGGCUUCGACGGGUA